rnacentral:rRNA from 1 species
UACAGAGGGUGCAAGCGUUGUUCGGAAUUAUUGGGCGUAAAGCGCGUGUAGGCGGCUUGUUAAGUCAGAUGUGAAAUCCCUCGGCUCAACCGAGGAAGUGCGUCUGAAACUGGCGAGCUUGAGUACCGGAGAGGAUGGCGGAAUUCUGCAAGUAGAGGUGAAAUUCGUAGAUAUUCGGAAGAACACCAGUGGCGAAGGCGACUUACUGGACACAUAUUGACGCUGAGGUGCGAAAGCGUGGGGAGCAAACAGG